UGGAAAACAUUCCAACAUUUUUUGUCCUAAUUUUUUCCUCAUCAAAAUUCCAUCUAAAAAAAAAUUAGUCGGAAACGGAGCAGGUCAAAACUCCCGUGCUGAUCAGUAGUGGGAUUGGGCCUGUGAAUAGCCACUGCACUCCAGCCUGGGCAACAUAGUGAGACCCAUAUCUCAAAAAAUAAAAUAAAAUUAAAUAAAUAAAUAAAUUAGCUGGGCAUGGUGGUGCAUACCUGUAGUUCCAACUAUUUGGGAGGCUGGGGCAGGAAAUUCUUUUGAGUUCAGGA
rnacentral:lncRNA from 1 species